ACUCAAAUGAAUUGACGGGGGCCCGCACAAGCGGUGGAUGAUGUGGAUUAAUUCGAUGCAACGCGAAAAACCUUACCUGGUCUUGACAUGUCUAGAAUCCCUUAGAGAUAGGGGAGUGCCGCAAGGAACUAGAACACAGGUGCUGCAUGGCUGUCGUCAGCUCGUGUCGUGAGAUGUUGGGUUAAGUCCCGCAACGAGCGCAACCCUUGCCAUUAGUUGCUACCAUUCAGUUGAGCACUUUAAUGGGACUGCCGGUGACAAACCGGAGGAAGGUGGGGAUGACGUCAAGUCCUCAUGGCCCUUAUGACCAGGGCUUCACACGUCAUACAAUGGUCGGUACAGAGGGUCGCCAACCCGCGAGGGGGAGCCAAUCUCAUAAAACCGAUCGUAGUCCGGAUUGCACUCUGCAACUCGAGUGCAUGAAGUCGGAAUCGCUAGUAAUCGCGGAUCAGCAUGUCGCGGUGAAUACGUUCCCGGGCCUUGUACACACCGCCCGU
rnacentral:rRNA from 1 species